rnacentral:lncRNA from 10 species
AUUAGAGUCCAAGAGCUCUCUGCUAGCGGGCGCACUUCGGGCGCUGGAAACUGCAAAUCCCAGAUUGCUCGUUGGAUAAACCGGCUGAGCCUUCAGGCUUUACCCCACCUCUCGAAAAUCCAUUGAGCUGUUGUGGAGUUACGAGUUUUUAGAGCUACCUAACCGACUCAGGCAGCAGGGCGUGCAACUACACUUCCCAGCUUGCCUCAGCGGGAGUAGAUCGAAACAAUGGGAGAGGAGAGGUGGGAGCGUGAGGGGAGGACUAAAAUGAAGGGGGCGCUGGGCAGGGAGGGGUUCCAGAAAGCGGGGCAUCGCUGCAAAGAUGUUGCCAACGGAAUUCCUUCACGAAAGAAAGCGCCUUGGUUUCAUUAAACCUUAAUUUUAGAGGCUGGUUCAUUGUUAAACUUUUAGAAGGUGCCAGACGUUGUUUUGGAACCUCGGCCGCUUAGCCUCCCCGCUGCCGCAUUGUUAGGUUUCCACUGAAGCCAUGCAAGUUUGGUGGAAAGGGCCCCGAGAUAAAAAGGCCCCUUGGCUGAGAUUUGUUUUAUUAUUAGUUAGCCAUGCUACCGGGCCCGUUACUUUCCCUUUGAGUCUCACUGUUUAAAAUCUCUCACAUGACAUUUUGGGCUGGAUGGUUUAAAAAUAAAUACAAUCUCUCAAGGACUUCACAUUACCUACAUUGUAAACUCCAAAUGUUUAGCCUCAAGUACAAGGCAGGCCCUUUGUGAUCUUUGUUACUUCUCCAGGCUCCUGUGCAGCAGAAGCCUCACCAUCAGUGACGUUUGGGGCAGCAAAGGAAGCUAUUGCUCCCUUUGAGCAUAUUCUCCAAAUGUGGCACCUUUUCGCCCACAGUCCGUGACUCAAACAAUGAGAAUUAGUUUUUCUUCUCAAACUCAUACUUCAGUAGAACUUACCUACUUAAAUAGUUCGGAGAUUAAGCGUGCUAUUUUACACCUGCAUGCCUUUGAACAUACAUUUUCCUAGAAUAUCCUCCACCAACGAAGUGCCUACUAUCUGUCAGGCUCAGAUAUAUGUGCUGGAGUUGCAAUGGUGCAAAGUCACUCCCUGACCUCAGGGAGCUCAUAAUAAAGAAGGAACAUGUGAAAAGUAAACAAGCCGGGUGUGGUGGCUCACACCUGUAAUCCAAGCACUUUGGAAGGCCGUAGUGGGAGGAUCAUUUCAGCCCAGGAGUUCAAGGCUGCAGUGAGCUAUAAUCAAACCACUGCACUCCAGACUGGGUGACAAAACUAGACCCUGUCUCUAAAAAAACAAAAAACAAAAAAAACAGACCUUGACACCAUGAAAUUAAGUGCCCUAAACGAAGUGACUUUCGUGUGUUGCUGGGGUACCUAGGUGGAGACCUCACUUGGCAUAGCAUAAUUAAGAGCAUAACCCCAGUUCUAUGCUUCAUUGUGUGGCCUUGGGCAAAGUACAUGUUCUCCUCUGUAAAAUGGGAAUAUAGUUACAAAAAGAAUACAGUUAAAUGACUGUAAAACCCUUCUGUAUGAAGCAAAAGAGUUAUUUAUGGGCCGGGCACGGUGGCUCACGCCUGUAAUCCCAGCACUUUGGGAGGCCGAGGCCAGCGGAUCACGAG